UCCUUGUUUUCUUUUUUUCUGGGUUAGCCUACUGGAUGUGAAAAAGAUGCUCUGAUCAACUCAAGUGUGCAUGCAAACAGAAUCAGCAGAAUAGAGAAUGCUUUACAGCUUAUGCUGUGCAACUUGAAACCUGGAAUCUUACUUAUACACUUCUGUUAAAGAAGGCAAGCAAGCCCUUUUGGAAUUAAUAAGCAUUAGCAAUAUCUCACGGUGGGAGAAAGAAGCCCAGCUGUCAACUUUUCAGUGGGAUAUCUACAGUUCAGAGCACAUCAGUCCACAGUCAGUGCGCAUUUUCUAAAGAAAUUUCAUCUGCAUAGGUAAAUAUGAAAUCAAUAUUUAAAUAUUUAGUGAAAGAUUGA
rnacentral:lncRNA from 1 species